UCCGUAGGUGGAUCAAUCAGUCAGAGGUGAAAUCCUGCAGCUUAACUGUCGAACUGCCUUUGAUACUGUUGAUCUUGAGUCAUUAUGAAGUGGUUAGAAUGUGUAGUGUAGCGGUGAAAUGCAUAGAUAUUACACAGAAUACCGAUUGCGAAGGCAGAUCACUAAUAAUGUACUGACACUGAUGGACGAAAGCGUGGGGAGCGAACAGGAUUAGAUACCCUGGUAGUCC
rnacentral:rRNA from 1 species